rnacentral:rRNA from 1 species
AACAAACGCUGGCGGCGUGCCUAACACAUGCAAGUCGUACGAGAAAGGGUCCUUCGGGACCUGAGUAAAGUGGCGCACGGGUGAGUAGCGCGUGGAUAAUCUACCCUUCAGUUGGGAACAACUCAUCGAAAGGUGGGCUAAUACCGAAUAAUACUGCUCGACCUUGGUCGAGCAGCCAAAGAGAGCCUCUGCUUGCAAGCCCUCGCUGAAGGAUGAGUCCGCGUACCAUUAGCUAGUUGGUAGGGUAAUGGCCUACCAAGGCGACGAUGGUUAGCUGGUCUGAGAGGAUGAUCAGCCACACUGGAACUGAGACACGGUCCAGACUCCUACGGGAGGCAGCAGUGAGGAAUCUUGCGCAAUGGGGGAAACCCUGACGCAGCAACGCCGCGUGAGUGAGGAAGGUCUUCGGGUCGUAAAGCUCUGUCAGGCGGGAAGAAAUGCAUGGAGGUGAACAGCCGCCAUGCUUGACGGUACCGCCAGAGGAAGCACCGGCUAACUCCGUGCCAGCAGCCGCCGUAAGAC